GGAUUAAUUUUGCAACUAUACGUUAUCUACUGUUUGCCGUGGCCGGUGUUGGUGAGACCAGCUCCCCUCAGAAGACACACUCUGAGGGAAAAAGCAUGGUGAUGUGGGGAGCACAGGUGACGAACACGCUGAGAAACACUUCCGGUUGGGAUUUCUGUCCCCCUUUGUAACAGAAGCCCUAGCCCUGGAGAAGUGUUAGUUGAUUCCUCAGGUGGGCCGGACACCCAGGGGACGUCUCCCUGAGCUGCAUGGCCUAGUUCAUUAGUCCCUCGAACCAGCAGAACUUAAGGAGAAGGCCGCCUAGACCUGGGAGGCGAACGAUCAGCUAGGGGCCCAGCGCCAGGUCCUCUGCAGCCUCUGUCCCGGGUCGUCCAGGAUGUCCCCACACUCCCAACCCUGGAAGGAAAGGAGCCCCUGGCAGUUGGAUGCCGCCAGCUCCGCGGUCGGCACCUGUGGGAACACUCGGAAUGGAUGGCAGUAGUUCUCUCCUCCACAUGACCAGUCCUCCACUGCUGGUUUAUUUAUCCAAAAGUUGCAGCAAGAGUUUGCCUCCUUGGAGCCCCGGGAGACCUUAGCGUGCAGAGAGGCCACGGCCUGGACACAUCCGGUUUGUGGACGCUCAGGGUAGAAAAGUCUGGGUUAAGAAUGAAAAAAGGGGACGGGGGAAGUGAUAAGAUUCAGAGGCCUGAUUUUCUCCGCCAGUCAGGAGGGAAGAAAAAAAAUCCUCAUGGAUUGUUUUGAUAAGUAAAAAUGCAAGUGGGUUUGGGAAAAGUUUUGUUUUGUUUUGUUUUUAAAGCAGUAUCUGUGGUUUCUAGGUAGCCGAUACCAAAGUGUAAACUCUUCCGCCAAUGGAACGCUGUGUAUCUCCUGCAAAGGACUUUGACUACUCCAUUGGCAGAGUUAAAGCACACCAGCUCCCGGAGAAAAAGCCCUGUGAUGAAGGCCUCCAAAGGAGGAAGCCUGUUUGCAGAAUCCCUGGGCCUCACUGGUUUGGAACAUUCUGAAGGGCAAACUAGUUUAAAAAAAAAAAAAAAAAUCCCUUGAGAUAGCCGCUCACUUUUAAGCAGAAGCUAAGAAACGUCUGUGCCAGA